AGGGAGUGCGACCUCGCUGCUGAGUUAGCCUGGCUCUUGAGCCGGGCUGAUAGAAACUCCCCCAAUCCCCACUUGUUUCUGUGUUUAGGGUUUGGCAAACUGGUGUUUUCACUCUCAGGGGCUAGCUCCAUUUGUCUGGCCACUUUUCUGACUACAGUGCUGGGUACUGCACCUUUACAACAAGGCUGUGAGGGCUGAGCACUCAGAGGCAGAGGCUGGGGGAUCCCUGAGUUCAAGGCUACCCAGGGCUACGCAGAAGGGCACCUGGUUCCCCAGCAUCCCAGACAACAGUCCCCUGUGUGGCUCCUGGUGUGAUGUGCACUAGGCCCAGAAGGACAUGGAGAGAAUGUGCACAGCCUUGUCCCGGCGCUGGAAAACAGAAGCUAACCUGUAAGCAACUAGAGGAUGUUUUCAGCUCGUGAGGAAGACUUAGCUUUUAAAAAGUAAAAAGCAGGAACAGGACACCAGAGAAGUACCGGCUGCUUCCAGGGCUGGGAGUUGAUUCCUGUUAAUGCCAAGAAACUAGGAUGCCUCCAUUUCCUUGUUCUCCUUACCACUUUAAUAAAGAAAAAGAAUCACGUGUUUC
rnacentral:lncRNA from 1 species